AGACAAGGCAAUAUCAGAAAGUAGUGUCCACAUUUUGAAGGUUGAGCAAAGAUGUCGUACAAAAGUUCAGGUGUAGAGGUCUACAACAAACAUGGGAUCAGCAUCAAAAUGAUGACCAAAAAAGUCGCUGAAAUAACGAGUAUGAAAAUUCCUGAUGUGAAAUCUCUGAUGACAGAAAUCACUCACCAACACCUACAUCCCCAGAGUUUACAUAGGCAGAAUCAUAAUAGACUAUCUGGGAAGAAACUGGCAUCACAUAGUGACACUAAAUCGGAACCUGAAUACAAGAGCACACAAGAAGCUAAACAUAAAUCACCAUAUUCUGAACACACAGCAUCACCUAAACCAUUUAGACCUGUGAAAGGAUCAGUCAAGAUUGGGUAAGAAAUUAUGUUUUACUGAACACACCUCAUUUAAUGAAUACUUGUUUUUUUGUCUGCAAAUAUUUACUUUUCAAGUACUUUUCAGUGAAUUUUAAGCACUCAAGGAGUACAUUCUUUC
rnacentral:misc_RNA from 1 species